AUAAAAAGAAGAUAAAAAAAGGAAGCUGAAUGCUGGUCCUAGAAAAGAGAUAAUGUACACCUCUCUUCUUUCUCUGAAAAGGAUGGCUUGUUGGAGAGGUAUACAGAGCAUUCCAAAAGUCAGUGCAGCUGUAAGCUAAGAUAUACAUUGUACAUCUGGAAAUGAAGAUGAUGUUUUAAAAAGCAAAAGAUACCAAGUCUUCAAAAAACUUUUAUACCAACAAGAUCAAUGUAACUAGAGUAAAGUAAAGAAGCCAGUGACUGGGGGAAAUCUUUGAAUCAAGCAUUUCUCACAGAAGUCUGACAUCAAAGACACAUUGAAAAUCAACAAAUCUUACAUUAAAAAAUCAACACAAAUUUCUAAGACCAAGAGGCAUUCAUUCUUUAACAGGGCCUCAACCCAAGUGCUAUGGGAUCCCACUGCCCAGAGAAGGAAGCACACCAAAAAAGAAACAAGAAACUGAGGUGGGCAAUGCCAAUGGAUUAUGCCCUAUGGAAUCAGAUUUGGGACAACAUAUAACACAAAUAAAUCUCUUUAUUACCAAUAUUCCUCAACUAUCUUGAUCAUCUACUUUGAUCAGAUAGGUAAAGAAACUUGCCUUACAUUUUACAGAAAAAAACAUGAAACAAUUCAGUAAAAACUCUCUUCCUUAUCUCUUAUCAUUCAGGUGCCUUUUUGACACUUUCUCCUUAAUCAGUUUCAUAUGGUGAAGUGGUUUACUCCUUAACCAAGACUAACUCUUCUACUCUCCAAGACAUCUGCCAUCUCCACUCUCUCAUUUCUUCUCUUCUCUUCUCUUUUCUUUCUUUUUUU